GCGUGUGACUGCGUACCUUUUGUAUAAUGGGUCAGCGACUUAUAUUCUGUAGCAAGGUUAACCGAAUAGGGGAGCCGAAGGGAAACCGAGUCUUAACUGGGCGUUAAGUUGCAGGGUAUAGACCCGAAACCCGGUGAUCUAGCCAUGGGCAGGUUGAAGGUUGGGUAACACUAACUGGAGGACCGAACCGACUAAUGUUGAAAAAUUAGCGGAUGACUUGUGGCUGGGGGUGAAAGGCCAAUCAAACCGGGAGAUAGCUGGUUCUCCCCGAAAGCUAUUUAGGUAGCGCCUCGUGAAUUCAUCUCCGGGGGUAGAGCACUGUUUCGGCAAGGGGGUCAUCCCGACUUACCAACCCGAUGCAAACUGCGAAUACCGGAGAAUGUUAUCACGGGAGACACACGGCGGGUGCUAACGUCCGUCGUGAAGAGGGAAACAACCCAGACCGCCAGCUAAGGUCCCAAAGUCAUGGUUAAGUGGGAAACGAUGUGGGAAGGCCCAGACAGCCAGGAUGUUGGCUUAGAAGCAGCCAUCAUUUAAAGAAAGCGUAAUAGCUCACUGGUCGAGUCGGCCUGCGCGGAAGAUGUAACGGGGCUAAACCAUGCACCGAAGCUGCGGCA
rnacentral:rRNA from 1 species